GACGAACGCUGGCGGCGUGCUUAACACAUGCAAGUCGAACGGAAAGGCCCUGCUUGCAGGGUGCUCGAGUGGCGAACGGGUGAGUAACACGUGGGUGAUCUGCCCUGCACUUCGGGAUAAGCCUGGGAAACUGGGUCUAAUACCGGAUAGGAGCCAUUUUUAGUGUGAUGGUUGGAAAGUUUUUUCGGUGUAGGAUGAGCUCGCGGCCUAUCAGCUUGUUGGUGGGGUAAUGGCCUACCAAGGCGGCGACGGGUAGCCGGCCUGAGAGGGUGGACGGCCACAUUGGGACUGAGAUACGGCCCAGACUGCUACGGGAGGCAGCAGUGGGGAAUAGUGCACAAUGGGCGCAAGCCUGAUGCAGCGACGCCGCGUGGGGGAUGACGGCCUUCGGGUUGUAAACUCCUUUCGCUAGGGACGAAGCUUUUUGUGACGGUACCUAGAGAAGAAGCACCGGCUAACUACGUG
rnacentral:rRNA from 1 species